rnacentral:rRNA from 1 species
AUCAGAAGGGAGCUUGCUCCCGGAUGUUAGCGGCGGACGGGUGAGUAACACGUGGGUAACCUGCCUGUAAGACUGGGAUAACUCCGGGAAACCGGAGCUAAUACCGGAUAGUUCCUUGAACCGCAUGGUUCAAGGAUGAAAGACGGUUUCGGCUGUCACUUACAGAUGGACCCGCGGCGCAUUAGCUAGUUGGUGGGGUAAUGGCUCACCAAGGCGACGAUGCGUAGCCGACCUGAGAGGGUGAUCGGCCACACUGGGACUGAGACACGGCCCAGACUCCUACGGGAGGCAGCAGUAGGGAAUCUUCCGCAAUGGACGAAAGUCUGACGGAGCAACGCCGCGUGAGUGAUGAAGGUUUUCGGAUCGUAAAGCUCUGUUGUUAGGGAAGAACAAGUGCGAGAGUAACUGCUCGCACCUUGACGGUACCUAACCAGAAAGCCACGGCUAACUACGUGCCAGCAGCCGCGGUAAUACGUAGGUGGCAAGCGUUGUCCGGAAUUAUUGGGCGUAAAGGGCUCGCAGGCGGUUUCUUAAGUCUGAUGUGAAAGCCCCCGGCUCAACCGGGGAGGGUCAUUGGAAACUGGGAAACUUGAGUGCAGAAGAGGAGAGUGGAAUUCCACGUGUAGCGGUGAAAUGCGUAGAGAUGUGGAGGAACACCAGUGGCGAAGGCGACUCUCUGGUCUGUAACUGACGCUGAGGAGCGAAAGCGUGGGGAGCGAACAGGAUUAGAUACCCUGGUAGUCCACGCCGUAAACGAUGAGUGCUAAGUGUUAGGGGGUUUCCGCCCCUUAGUGCUGCAGCUAACGCAUUAAGCACUCCGCCUGGGGAGUACGGUCGCAAGACUGAAACUCAAAGGAAUUGACGGGGGCCCGCACAAGCGGUGGAGCAUGUGGUUUAAUUCGAAGCAACGCGAAGAACCUUACCAGGUCUUGACAUCCUCUGACAACCCUAGAGAUAGGGCUUUCCCUUCGGGGACAGAGUGACAGGUGGUGCAUGGUUGUCGUCAGCUCGUGUCGUGAGAUGUUGGGUUAAGUCCCGCAACGAGCGCAACCCUUGAUCUUAGUUGCCAGCAUUUAGUUGGGCACUCUAAGGUGACUGCCGGUGACAAACCGGAGGAAGGUGGGGAUGACGUCAAAUCAUCAUGCCCUUUAUGACCUGGGCUACACACGUGCUACAAUGGACAGAACAAAGGGCUGCGAGACCGCAAGGUUUAGCCAAUCCCAUAAAUCUGUUCUCAGUUCGGAUCGCAGUCUGCAACUCGACUGCGUGAAGCUGGAAUCGCUAGUAAUCGCGGAUCAGCAUGCCGCGGUGAAUACGUUCCC